CGGGGUGAGUGGCAGACGGGUGAGUAACGCGUGGGAACGUGCCCUUCAGUUCGGAAUAACCCAGGGAAACUUGGGCUAAUACCGGAUACGUGCGAGAGCAGAAAGAUUUAUCGCUGAAGGAUCGGCCCGCGUCUGAUUAGCUAGUUGGUGGGGUAAUGGCCCACCAAGGCGACGAUCAGUAGCUGGUCUGAGAGGAUGAUCAGCCACAUUGGGACUGAGACACGGCCCAAACUCCUACGGGAGGCAGCAGUGGGGAAUAUUGGACAAUGGGCGCAAGCCUGAUCCAGCCAUGCCGCGUGAGUGAUGAAGGCCUUAGGGUUGUAAAGCUCUUUCAGCGGGGACGAUAAUGACGGUACCCGCAGAAGAAGCCCCGGCUAACUUCGUGCCAGCAGCCGCGGUAAUACGAAGGGGGCUAGCGUUGUUCGGAAUCACUGGGCGUAAAGGGCGCGUAGGCGGCUUUGUAAGUCGGGGGUGAAAGCCUGUGGCUCAACCACAGAAUUGCCUUCGAUACUGCAUGGCUUGAGACCGGAAGAGGUUAGUGGAACUGCGAGUGUAGAGGUGAAAUUCGUAGAUAUUCGCAAGAACACCAGUGGCGAAGGCGGCUGACUGGUCCGGUUCUGACGCUGAGGCGCGAAAGCGUGGGGAGCAAACAGGAUUAGAUACCCUGGUAGUCCACGCCGUAAACGAUGAAUGCCAGCCGUUGGCGAGCUUGCUCGUCAGUGGCGCAGCUAACGCUUUAAG
rnacentral:rRNA from 1 species